rnacentral:rRNA from 1 species
AGAGGUCUCGAGCGUUAGGCGGAAUCACUGGGCUUAAAGCGUGUGUAGGCGGCGGGCUAAGUACCUUGUGAAAUCCCACGGCUUAACUGUGGAACUGCUGGGUAUACUGGUUCGCUUGAGCGGUCUAGGGGCGAGCGGAACAAAUGGUGGAGCGGUGAAAUGCGUAGAUAUCAUUUGGAACGCCAACGGUGAAAACAGCUCGCUGGGGACCUGCUGACGCUGAGACACGAAAGCCAGGGGAGCGAACGGGAUUAGAUACCCCGGUAGUCCUGGCCCUAAACGAUGUCCACUAGAUCCUGGUACCUCUGACGGUUUCAGGGUCGAAGCAAAAGUGCUAAGUGGACCGCCUGGGAAGUACGGUCGCAAGGCUA